rnacentral:rRNA from 1 species
AUGCACGCUGGCGGCGUGCCUAAUACAUGCAAGUCGAGCGAACAGACGAGGAGCUUGCUCCCCUGACGUUAGCGGCGGACGGGUGAGUAACACGUGGAUAACCUACCUAUAAGACUGGGAUAACUUCGGGAAACCGGAGCUAAUACCGGAUAAUAUAUUGAACCGCAUGGUUCAAUAGUGAAAGACGGUUUUGCUGUCACUUAUAGAUGGAUCCGCGCCGCAUUAGCUAGUUGGUAAGGUAACGGCUUACCAAGGCGACGAUGCGUAGCCGACCUGAGAGGGUGAUCGGCCACACUGGAACUGAGACACGGUCCAGACUCCUACGGGAGGCAGCAGUAGGGAAUCUUCCGCAAUGGGCGAAAGCCUGACGGAGCAACGCCGCGUGAGUGAUGAAGGUCUUCGGAUCGUAAAACUCUGUUAUUAGGGAAGAACAAAUGUGUAAGUAACUAUGCACGUCUUGACGGUACCUAAUCAGAAAGCCACGGCUAACUACGUG